UAAAACGUAGGUACCGAGCGUUAUCCGGAUUUACUGGGCGUAAAGCGCGUUCAGGCGGUUUGGCAAGUCGGGCAUGAAAUCUCUCGGCUCAACCGGGAGAGGUUGUCCGAUACUGCUGGACUUGAGGGCAGUAGAGGGUGGUGGAAUUCCGGGUGUAGUGGUGAAAUGCGUAGAUAUCCGGAGGAACACCAGUGGCGAAAGCGGCCACCUGGACUGUACCUGACGCUGACACGCGAAAGCUAGGGGAGCGAACGGGAUUAGAAACCCCGGUAGUCCUAGCUAUAAACGAUGUUGACUAGGUGUCGACGGUCUAAACCCCGCCGGUGCCGGAGCAAACGCAUUAAGUCAACCGCCUGGGGACUACGGCCGCAAGGUUA
rnacentral:rRNA from 1 species